rnacentral:sRNA from 1 species
UGAUGAAAAAGUCUAGAACGUCUGGCAG